CCUACGGGAGGCUGCAGUGGGGAAUAUUGGACAAUGGGCGAAAGCCUGAUCCAGCCAUGCCGCGUGUGUGAAGAAGGCCUUCGGGUUGUAAAGCACUUUCAGUGGGGAAGAAAGCCUUGGGGCUAAUACCCUCGAGGAAGGACAUCACCCACAGAAGAAGCACCGGCUAACUCCGUGCCAGCAGCCGCGGUAAUACGGAGGGUGCGAGCGUUAAUCGGAAUUACUGGGCGUAAAGCGCGCGUAGGCGGUCUGAUAAGCCGGUUGUGAAAGCCCCGGGCUCAACCUGGGAACGGCAUCCGGAACUGUCAGGCUAGAGUGCAGGAGAGGAAGGUAGAAUUCCCGGUGUAGCGGUGAAAUGCGUAGAGAUCGGGAGGAAUACCAGUGGCGAAGGCGGCCUUCUGGACUGACACUGACGCUGAGGUGCGAAAGCGUGGGUAGCAAACAGGAUUAGCUACCCGUGUAGUC
rnacentral:rRNA from 1 species